AGAACAAAAAUCCCACAUCCAAUAAUGCAAAUGUGGGCUUGCCUCAGCCCUGUGUUCCCCUGCCAAAGAGGGAUGAGAGGGCUCUUUCCACCCCUGAAUGCUCCUAGGCCACCCAUGACCUGCACUGCAGCUGGCCUGGGUCUGCCUCUUCUCCCUGUGUGUUGCUCCUGCCCGUGGUGCUCACCUACAGCAGAAUAUGGAUUUGGCAGAUGCGAACACAUCCCAGGUUUAUCACCUCUGGUUUCUGGAAAGGGGCAUUUGUUUUGGGAAACAAGUGGAAGAGCAGCAUUCUGCCAGGAAAUGUCAUCCUAUUUCCCACUGUCACACAAAGUGCCCGAGGCUGUGAUUGAAAAAUCUUGUGAAAAGACUCAUAUUCUGUUUCUAAUCAGGUAUGUUUCUGUCUUUAGAGUACCUGCUAGUUUCUUUUUGCCUGCAUGACAUUUCUAUUUUGAUCUAAGCUCUUCUUUCCCUCCCCCUGUUGCAGUGCCUCUG